rnacentral:misc_RNA from 1 species
GGGGAACAGACCUCAUAGAAUCCUGCAUAAGCUGUAAGACCAGGCAUACCAAGAAGACCCAGGUUAAAUGAAAGAGGAAUAUCAUCUUGCUGAACUCUCCUCAAUUGCUCAGGCUUCUGAAUCAAGCUGUAUUCUUCAUAAAUCCCCAAAACUAAAUCCCCAGGCUUGAAAUCUGGAUUAUCAGAAGCCACAACCUUUGAUACGCCGAAUCCUUGUAUGGGCUGGCCAGGGACAAAGGGAGGAAUGUAAGAGCCAUGGUAGUCACGCAUGCGACCUCUCAUGUAGGGGUCACAAGACAGGUAGAGAUUCUUCACCAAGAAAGCUCCUGACCCUUUUGGUGUUUUGACCUCAACAGUCCCAAUUCUCACUUCCAUGUCUGUCUCUCUUGGUGCCCUCUCUACAUAGCCCUUGAAUAUCACCUGCUUGUUUUCUACUGCUACUUCUUCCAUUUUGAUCAAUCAAAAAUGGCCACUUCAAUUUACUUCCCCG